rnacentral:rRNA from 1 species
UACGUAGGGUGCGAGCGUUGUCCGGAAUUAUUGGGCGUAAAGAGCUCGUAGGCGGUGUGUCGCGUCGGCCGUGAAAACCUGGGGCUCAACUCUGGGCGUGCGGUCGAUACGGGCAUCACUUGAGUUCGGCAGGGGAGACUGGAAUUCCUGGUGUAGCGGUGAAAUGCGCAGAUAUCAGGAGGAACACCGGUGGCGAAGGCGGGUCUCUGGGCCGAUACUGACGCUGGAGGAG